GAAAAAGUAUGCAAGAACUGCUAACUCAUGCCCCCAUGGAUAAGAACAUGGCUUUUUCA
rnacentral:tRNA from 1 species